rnacentral:rRNA from 1 species
AGAGUUUGAUCCUGGCUCAGGACGAACGCUGGCGGCGUGCCUAACACAUGCAAGUCGAGCGGGGAUGAGCUGGUCAGCUUGCUGAUUGGCUUAUCCUAGCGGCGGACGGGUGAGUAACGCGUGAGCAACCAACCUUGUACUGGGGGAUAACAGCUGGAAACAGCUGCUAAUACCGCAUAAGACUACGGCACCGCAUGGUGCUGUAGUAAAAGGUGUCGGAAGGCGCCGNUACAAGACGGGCUCGCGUCCCAUUAGCUAGUUGGUGGGGUAACGGCCUACCAAGGCGACGAUGGGUAGCCGGCCUGAGAGGGUGUACGGCCACACUGGGACUGAGACACGGCCCAGACUCCUACGGGAGGCAGC